CACCGUUCUGGAAGCUGGGAAGUCCAAGGUCAAGGUCCCCGCAGGUUUGCUGUCUGGUGGCUCCCGAGCUGGACUGCAUUUCCCGUCCUUCUCUGCACCUGGACGUGGCCGCCGAACAGGUUCUGACCAAAAGACGGUUUGGGCGUCCAGGUAUGGAGGCAGUUCACAGAUGUGAUCUCAGCAGCUCUAUGUGGAUGAUAAAGGUGAUUCAAUAAAUAAAUAAGUAAAAUACAUUGGAUA